rnacentral:sRNA from 1 species
GAAAAGUGGUGGCGGCUGCAGGUACCGGAGGAGUGGGGCGGCCGGGAGGGGCUAGGUCUACCGGGGCUGCCCGCCACGCAGAUCCGAGCCCAGGGAACGCCCUCGCUCCCACUCCCAUACCCCACAGACGCAUCCAAAAUGCUUCCCUCCCCACCAAACCGUUCCCGAUAGGAUUAGCCCUCUCUCCUCUCUAGCCUUAAUUUAAACUCUGCUUUUGAGGGUGUGAACUCGCUAAUUUUAAGCCCCAAAUACCAUCUCAUCCCUGAGUAGUCUUCUCCAACCCUGGUCACCCACUUUCAAGUCCAGCCCCCAUUUUCCUCCCUAAACUCCCAUCCUCAGCCCUGAAAAAUCCUCUUCUCCGCUCCUAGCAUAUCCACGGAUCCAACCCUAAGUGACUCUCAAACCUACCCUCUCCCUCAAUUUGUGACCCAGCCCCAAACUCCAUCAUUGCUUUCCUGUCCCUCACCAUAUAUCCCUUCUUUUGCUCAGUCUGGGCCGGGGCCCUGUGCCGCUGAAGACAUGGAGUUUGUGUCUGGAUACCGGGAUGAGUUCCUUGAUUUCACUGCCCUUCUCUUCGGCUGGUUCCGAAAGUUUGUGGCAGAGCGUGGAGCUGUAGGGACUAGCCUUGAGGGCCGCUGCCGGCAGCUGGAGGCCCAGAUCAGAAGGCUACCCCAGGACCCUGCCCUUUGGGUGCUCCAUAUCCUGCCCAACCAUAGUGUGGGCAUCAGCCUGGGGCAAGGGGCAGAACCAGGUCCUGGACCAGGCCUGGGGACUGCCUGGCUCCUGGGAGACAACCCUCCACUCCACCUGCGAGACCUGAGCCCCUACAUCAGCUUUGUCAGCCUAGAGGAUGGGGAGGAAGGGGAGGAGGAAGAGGAGGAAGAUGAAGAAGAAGAGAAGAGAGAGGACGGGGGUGCAGGCAGCACAGAGAAGGUGGAACCAGAGGAGGACCGGGAGCUAGCCCCUACCAGCAGGGAGUCCCCCCAGGAAACAAACCCUCCAGGAGAGUCAGAGGAGGCUGCCCGGGAGGCAGGAGGUGGCAAGGAUGGCUGCCGAGAGGACAGGGUGGAGAACGAAACAAGACCCCAGAAGAGGAAGGGACAGAGGAGUGAGGCUGCCCCCCUGCACGUUUCCUGUCUCUUACUUGUGACGGAUGAGCAUGGCACCAUCUUGGGCAUUGAUCUGCUAGUGGAUGGAGCCCAGGGAACCGCAAGCUGGGGCUCAGGGACCAAGGACCUGGCUCCUUGGGCCUAUGCUCUCCUCUGUCACAGCAUGGCCUGUCCCAUGGGCUCUGGGGAUCCCCGAAAGCCCCGACAGCUUACUGUGGGAGAUGCCCGGCUGCAUCGAGAGCUGGAGAGCUUGGUCCCAAGGCUAGGUGUGAAGUUAGCCAAAACCCCAAUGCGGACAUGGGGUCCCCGGCCAGGCUUCACCUUUGCUUCCCUUCGUGCUCGAACCUGCCAUGUGUGUCACAGGCACAGCUUUGAAGCGAAGCUGACACCUUGCCCCCAGUGUAGUGCUGUCUUGUAUUGUGGAGAGGCUUGUCUCCGGGCUGACUGGCAGCGGUGCCCAGAUGAUGUGAGCCACCGAUUUUGGUGCCCAAGGCUUGCAGCCUUCAUGGAGCGGGCAGGAGAACUGGCAACCCUGCCUUUUACCUACACCGCAGAGGUGACCAGUGAAACCUUCAACAAAGAGGCCUUCCUGGCCUCUCGGGGCCUCACGCGUGGCUACUGGACGCAGCUCAGCAUGCUGAUUCCAGGCCCGGGCUUCUCCAGACACCCCCGAGGCAACACGCCGUCCCUCAGCCUUCCUCGCGGUGGAGACCCCUACCAGCUUCUCCAGGGAGACGGGACUGCCCUGAUGCCUCCUGUGCCCCCACAUCCACCCCAGGGUGUUUUUGGUGAGCUGGAGGGGCCCUGUGGAAGCUAGGGGUAGGGCCAGGGACUGGAGAACCAGAGCCCGGGUGGCUGUGAAGAAGAGGUUUGUUAGACUAGAGGGGGUGGGGGCCCAGGGCCAGGUCCUCUAGCAACCCUCUCCUGCCAGGCUCAUGGCACGAUUACUACACAUGGCGGGGCCUCAGCUUGGACUCCCCCACAGCCGUGCUUCUCACCUACCCGCUGACCGUGUACUACGUCAUCACCCACCUGGUGCCCCAGUCCUUCCCUGAGCUCAACAUCCAAAACAAACAAUCACUGAAGAUCCACGUGGUGGAGGCCGGGAAGGAGUUUGACCUUGUCAUGGUGUUUUGGGAGCUUUUGGUCCUGCUCCCCCACGUGGCCCUGGAGCUGCAGUUUGUAGGUGAUGGGCUGCCCCCCGAAAGCGACGAGCAGCAUUUUACCCUGCA